AAUCAACGCUGGCGGCGUGCCUAACACAUGCAAGUCGAACGCGAAAGUCCCGCAAGGGAUGAGUAGAGUGGCAAACGGGUGAGUAACGCGUGGGUGACCUGCCUUCGAGUGGGGGAUAACGGUUCCGAAAGGGACGCUAAUACCGCAUGACAUCCUGCCUUUGAAGAGGCGGAGAUCAAAGCCGGGGAUCGCAAGACCUGGCGCUUGACGAGGGGCCCGCGUCUGAUUAGCAGUUGGUGGGGUAAUGGCUCACCAAGGCAACGAUCAGUAUCCGGCCUGGAGAGGGCGGACGGACACACUGGGACUGAGACACGGCCCAGACUCCUACGGGAGGCAGCAGUGGGGAAUUGUUCGCAAUGGGCGCUAAGCCUGACGACGCAACGCCGCGUGGAGGAUGAAGACCUU
rnacentral:rRNA from 1 species